UACGUAGGGUGCGGGCGUGUCCGGAAUUACUGGGCGUAAAGAGCUCGUAGGUGGUUUGUCGCGUUGUUCGUGAAAUCUCACGGCUUAACUGUGAGCGUGCGGGCGAUACGGGCAGACUAGAGUACUGCAGGGGAGACUGGAAUUCCUGGUGUAGCGGUGGAAUGCGCAGAUAUCAGGAGGAACACCGGUGGCGAAGGCGGGUCUCUGGGCAGUAACUGACGCUGAGGAGCGAAAGCGUGGGGAGCGAACAGG
rnacentral:rRNA from 1 species